CAGCCAUCCAAACAGACUGCUGAACUUCAGGAGGAACAAUCUUCCUUCCCUCCCCUGGGCACCCUAACAUGAGGGACCUGUUAAACACCUCGAACAAGGCCUUCUGGGAGGAGCGAAUAAAGAAGGAGGUGGUUGCUCGGACUACCUGGAAUAUCCGAUAUGGACACAAGUACCUGAAAGAUGGGUCCAAGACCAGGAAUCAGUCCCUGCAGGCCCCCCGUGGGUCAGUCUUGAAAGCAGGCCCGGUGCCUCCCACAGGUUCCCCUGUCAGAAAAAAGGCGCAAGCAGAAUGGCCAGAGGCCAGUAGGGUCCAGGGAAGUGGAGUGAGGCAGACCAGACAAGGUGUUCAGUACACAGCAGCCCAGGGCAGGCCAGAGGACUUAGAGAUGAAGCCUCCCAACCCGGCCACCUUGAAGCUGCUGUUCCAAGGCAUCUCCCAUGAGGGCCAGGGCAGGAUCUUGUACCUCAAGGAGCGGCAUCAACUGAUACCAGAGAAGAAGUACAAGUACCCGAUGGUGUCUUCCUGGAACUAUGGCUGGCAUGUGGGGGAUGUCAUGAAGAACUACAGGACGCCAACUCAUGCCAGAAUUUAUCCUAUCACAAAGUCAUUUUACAUCAAAAGUAGCAUUUUUCCUAUUCCACGGAGAUCGGAUGACAUCAUGUGAACUUGGCUUGGAAAAGGCCUCAGUGGCUGCUUUUCCCCUAUCACCCAUCUGGACCAGCCAGAUGGGAGAUGUUGUGGCCCAGCCUUACCUCAGUCCAUCCAUGUUCUGCUGAGCCCCGCCUCCUUGGGUGAGAUGGACCUGAAGAAGUGACCUCGGGGUGUACUGUCAUCCCAUGUCGGGGCUCCUGUCGACACACAGAGAACUCCGCUGCUUGCAGAGCUGCCCCACCCUACCAGCCAUCACUAGCAAUGCUGCUCCUUUUCCUGAGGAGAUCCAAUGCUGCAGCGGCAGACCUGGACAGAGGGAGGGGCUGGCUGAGCCUGCGAGGUUCUUAGGAGAGCAACGGCCUCUUACUGUAUAUUUUUCUGCACUAGACCGGUGGUAUCUGUAGCAGAGUUGCUCUGUCCCGAUGUAUCUACCAUUCAGGGAAGAACUUGCUGUCUCCUCUGACUGCUUCCCUCGCCCCUCAGAGCCUGCAUCAGUCAGAGAUACCCUGCUUCACAGGCUGCAACAGGCAGCUCCUGAGUCCCAACUAUUUAAACAAAUAAAGAUACAUUUCUUAUUUUCCUUUCUUUUCUCCACACUCACUGAGGAUGUCUUUGUCUCGCUGCCUAGCUGCUCAUUCC
rnacentral:lncRNA from 14 species